rfam:Nematostella vectensis strain CH2 x CH6 NEMVEscaffold_25_Cont4537, whole genome shotgun sequence.
GGCCUUGUCGCCCAAUGGAUAAGGCGCCUGACUACGGAUCAGGAGAUUCUACGUUCGAGUCCUGGCAGGGUCG